ACUAAUAACGAUAAUAAGGGCGGGAUUGCCCGCCCUACUGAUUGCUGACCAAAGGCCCGGACAGACAGACGCGCUAAGGCCGUUCCCCGAAGCGCGGCAACAGGGGGCCAUUCAUCAAUCUUCAGGGUAGCGCUCGCUACCCUUUUUUACCGGAGUUUU
rfam:Sodalis praecaptivus strain HS1, complete genome.